rnacentral:rRNA from 1 species
GAUGAACGCUGGCGGCGUGCCUAAUACAUGCAAGUCGAGCGAACAGACGAGGAGCUUGCUCCUCUGACGUUAGCGGCGGACGGGUGAGUAACACGUGGAUAACCUACCUAUAAGACUGGGAUAACUUCGGGAAACCGGAGCUAAUACCGGAUAAUAUAUUGAACCGCAUGGUUCAAUAGUGAAAGACGGUUUUGCUGUCACUUAUAGAUGGAUCCGCGCCGCAUUAGCUAGUUGGUAAGGUAACGGCUUACCAAGGCGACGAUGCGUAGCCGACCUGAGAGGGUGAUCGGCCACACUGGAACUGAGACACGGUCAAGACGACUAAGGGAGGCAGCAGUAGGGAAUCUUCCGCAAUGGGCGAAAGCAUGACGGAGCAACGCCGCGUGAGUGAUGAAGGUCUUCGGAUCGUAAAACUCUGUUAUGAGGGAAGAACAAAUGUGUAAGUAACUAUGCACGUCUUGACGGUACCUAAUCAGAAAGCCACGGCUAACUACGUG